AUUGAACGCUGGCGGCAGGCCUAACACAUACAAGACGAACGAGUGGCGGACGGGUGAGUAAUGUCUGGGAAACUGCCUGCUGUCGGGGGAUAACUACUGGAAACGGUAGCUACUACCCAAUACCAUCGGAUGUGCCAAGAUGGGAUUAGCUAGUAGGUGGGGUAACGGCUCACCUAGGCGACGAUCCCUAGCUGGUCUGAGAGGAUGACCAGCCACACUGGAACUGAGACACGGUCCAGACUCCGACGGGAGGCAGCAGUGGGGAAGAGUGCACAAUGGGCGCAAGCCUGAUGCAGCCAUGCCGCGUGUAUGAAGAAGGCAUUCGGGUUGUAAAGUACUUUCAGCGGGGAAGCGGGACCCGCAGAAGAAGCACCGGCUAACUCCGUGCCAGCCGCCGCGGUAAUAC
rnacentral:rRNA from 1 species